AUCGCCUGGGAAUCUUGUUAAAGUACAAAUUCUGAUUCUGUAGGUCUGAGGUAGGACCUGAGACUCUGCAUUUCUAACAAGCUCCCAGGUGACGCUGA
rnacentral:pre_miRNA from 1 species